rnacentral:rRNA from 1 species
GUGGGGAAUCUUCCGCAAUGGACGAAAGUCUGACGGAGCGACGCCGCGUGAGUGAUGAAGGCCUUCGGGUCGUAAAGCUCUGUCAUCGGGGACGAACGGCCUCAGCAGGUAAUGGCUGGGGAUUGACGGUACCCGAGAAGGAAGCCACGGCUAACUACGUGCCAGCAGCCGCGGUAAUACGUAGGUGGCAAGCGUUGUCCGGAAUUAUUGGGCGUAAAGCGCGCGCAGGUGGGAUCUUAAGUCCAUUUUGAAAGUUCGGAGCUCAACUCCGUGAGGGGAUGGAAACUGGGAUUCUUGAGUACCGGAGAGGAAAGCGGAAUUCCCCGUGUAGCGGUGAAAUGCGUAGAUAUGGGGAGGAACACCAGUGGCGAAGGCGGCUUUCUGGACGGUGUCUGACACUGAGGCGCGAAAGCCAGGGGAGCGAACGGGAUUAGAUACCCUAGUAGUCC